ACCUUGACCCUUUCUUUGUAUCUCCUCAGUACUGUCCAAGAACAGCAAACCCAUCCACACUACCAUCCUGAAUCCCCACGUUCACGUUAUUGGUGAUGACGCAGCUUGUAUUGCCUAUAUCCGUUUGACCCAGUAUAUUGACGGCCAGGGCCGGCCUCGCACCAUGCAGUCCGAAGAAACCCGCGUCUGGCAUCGCCGGGAUGGCAAGUGGCUGAACGUGCAUUACCAUUGUUCAGGGGCUCCUGCAGCCCCACUCCAAUGAAGCUAAAAAUGGCAGUUUUCGGAGAUACUCAGCGGGAGGGCAAUAUCUUCUCAGCAAGCAGCUCUGGAGUACCUGAAUUACAGCAACGGUCAUCUUCGUUUUGACGUUUCGAGAAAUAAGAAUUACGAACCGGCAGCAGCCAAGUGCACGAAACCCUGCAUGAAUCUGAUGCUCCGGGCGCUGCCGCCUUUCUAUUGUUUUUCCAUGGAUCCAUCGUGUCUGUUUCUGCUGUAUGAAGGUGUCUUAUAACUCCUGAGAGAAAACCCAUAUUGUUUGUAUAGAAAAGAGAUCAUCCGUGAUGGGAGGAUCCAGCACCUCCCCUCCAGGGCUGAUGAUGGAGCAACAGCUGUGAAGCAUCUUUCAGAAUUGGAGCAAAGAGAGAGAGAGAGAGAGAGAAAGAAAGAAAGAAAGAAAAAGAGUUUGAGAGAGAGAGACACAGCAUCUCUUGGGCAGCAGGAUGCUGUCCUCUGUUGUAGGCCCGGCGGAAAUGGACCUUGUCUUUGGGUUAUGCUGCUGCUUUAAUCAGUGAGGUAGGGCUGAUGGGGGUGAGCUCACUAGGGCCCGCAUAAAGGAAGGGGUAAAGCAAAAGAAGGACUUUUCUUAACGCUGUCGCUAUCCCGCAACCAACCGGAGCCUAGACCUCAGCAGUAAGAGAGGAGCUGAUUAUUUGACCGCUGGCUCUCACUGAUGGAUUGGGAUAAAAAAUGAACAAGAAUGUUUUAAGGAACAAGUAUGAGCUGGUUUUGUUAGCAUAGGAGCUGCAGAGAUGCACUGAUUUUUACAAACAGCCACUCCUCGAUGAUGUAAGUCAACUUAUAAGGGUAGAAUUUAAAAGCAAAUAAUCUUAAAAGAGGGCAAAAAUAAUAAUUAUGUGAAUGGCUUAUUUUAUUUUUUAUUGUUUAGAAUAGAGGGGGGGAAUCCAGAGUGCUGCAGAAUUACGUGCUCCUUAGGAAACAGUUGAAAAGCUUUGUUAGACUCUGCCCUGAAGAUUUGCGCACACAUGCAUUUGCUUCCUGUAUGGUGUGCAAUUUAGUCUCUGUGUUAUACUAAAAUACUAUAUUAGCUAUGAAUUUUAAAAAGAAAAAAAAAGUUCUAUAAUUAUGGGGCUAGCUGGUUUCCCAGUUUGAUUUGUUUUCUGAUAAAAACUAGCAAAAGGGAGCCAGGAACUUCCAGAAGUGCUUUUUGUUUUCAGUAGCCCAGUCUAUUUGACAUUGCUUUAUUUCCUGUUGUUCUGUAGUUUUUUGGGGGGUUUGUUUUAACCACAUAAACAUAGAGAACUUUCGCAUCAGCCGUAUUUAUUGUCUUUGCUACAAAGAAAGUGAGUAAUGUUCUUUAUUUCCUACAUCAGAAGUAUUUUGUCAGCUUUAUGGUUUGACUACUAUUUUUUUUCAGUUUCUGAGUAGAAGUGGAUGGGACAAAAGCUUUCCCAGUAAAUUUCCAAGAUCGGAUUUAUACUAUGACAUUCUCUGCCCCUGGCAUACAACGCACACCAAACCUUUUUAUGUCCAUUCAUUAGAUCUUGAGAAGAUGGAAUUCCAUUAAGUUGUUCCCUUUGUGCCUGAAGUAGGAUUGAGAAUAUUUUUGCUGUCUAAUUAAAUAAAAAAAAUAAGAGGGUCAACUUAAUGGAGUUUAGGAAAAUACAGUUUCAGUUUCAAUAUGAAUUGAAGGGGAAAUAUCGUUUUCUGUUCUUCUAACAAGAAACUCCUAACUCAGCUCCAUAAUAUUUAUGAUAGUUCAUGACUCAGUGCAGGAAAAAAGCAUUCCUUCUUGCAGAAGUUUGUGCAAAAUUUCCUUCUCCUUUAAAGAGAAGGAAUAUUUUCUCAAAUGAGAGAGAGAGAGAAUUCUACUGGGGCGAAAGAACCAGUGACACUUCUGUUGUUGCUGGCUACACCUCCUAGUAUCCCUCACCGUUGGCUUGUGAGCUGGGGUUAUUGGUGAAGUUAAUUCAACAGCAUCCGAAAAGUGUGACAAAACUUCAUCUCUUCCUAUCAAUUUAAUAUAGAACAUAUCUAGGACUAAGUGUGUGGAGUAAUAAAACCCCUGAUAAUUUUACUAAGAUUUUUAAGAAUAACAUUACAAAGUGAGGAACAGGAAAUUAGUUAUACUGCUUAAAAAAAAGAUGUGCAUGCUUCUAGGUCUGCUCUUCUCUUGUCUUUUAUCUGAUUAUUUAUAAUAAUCCCCCUGUAUUGAGUAUCUGCAUCCUUAAAACAUAUUUUUGGAACCGU